CNGUGAUCACUUUAACGGCCGCGGUACCCUGACCGUGCAAAGGUAGCAUAAUCAUUUGCCUUUUAAUUGGAGGCUAGUAUGAAUGGUCUGACGAGAGUAAAACUGUCUCAUAUAUAUUCAAUAGAAAUUAACUUAAAGGUGCAAAGGCCUUUAUAAUCUAAAAAGACGAGAAGACCCUGUUGAGCUUUAAUCUAGCAUUUCUUCUAUAUUGAUAAAUUCAUUUUGCUUACUAAAGAUUUUAAUUGGGGCGAUUAAGGAACACUCACCAGCUUCCUGAAAGACUAAACCGAUCCAGCAAUGUUGAUCAGCAAAGCGAGUUACCACAGGGAUAACAGCAUAAUUCUCCUUGAGAGCCCAUAUCGAAAGGAGAGAUUGUGACCUCGAUGUUGGACUAGGGUAACCAGAAGGUGCAGCCGCUUUCUUGUUUGGUCUGUUCGACCAAUAAUUCCCU
rnacentral:rRNA from 1 species